rnacentral:rRNA from 1 species
GAUGAACGCUGGCGGCAUGCCUAAUACAUGCAAGUCGAACGAGAGGAAGGGAAGCUUGCUUUUCUGAAUCUAGUGGCGAACGGGUGAGUAACACGUAGGUAACCUGCCCAUGUGCCCGGGAUAACUUCUGGAAACGGAUGCUAAAAACCGGAUAGGUAGCAGACAAGCAUUUGACUGCUAUUAAAGUGGCUAAGGCCAUGAACAUGGAUGGACCUGCGGUGCAUUAGCUAGUUGGUGAGGUAACGGCCCACCAGGGCGACGAUGCAUAGCCGGCCUGAGAGGGCGGACGGCCACAUUGGGACUGAGACACGGCCCAAACUCCUACGGGAGGCAGCAGUAGGGAAUUUUCGUCAAUGGGGGGGAACCCUGAACGAGCAAUGCCGCGUGAGUGAGGAAGGUCUUCGGAUCGUAAAGCUCUGUUGUAAGAGAAAACGACAUUCAUAGGGAAUGAUGAGUGAGUGAUGGUAUCUUACCAGAAAGUCACGGCUAACUACG